rnacentral:SRP_RNA from 1 species
GCUGGGCAUGGUGGCACACGCCUGUAGUCCCAGCUACUCAGGAGGCUGAGGUGGGGGAAUUGCUUGAGCCCAGGAGACUGAGGCUGCAGUGAGCUAUGAUGGCACCACUGCCCUCCAGCCUGGGCAACAGAGUGAGACCCUGUCUCAA